GUAAAUGAUAUUUUAUUUUACUGUUAUUCACUUUGGUGAGUCAGUGUCAUAUUGAAUUGUUGACAGCAAUCUUCAGAAGUCCAUGAACCAGGAACGAUGGAACAAGCCAGUGACAAGGACUAAACUGGAAAAUCAAGACAUCAAAGGGCAAACCAGGAUACAAGAUUUAUUACAGUGGAACUCAAAACACAUUACAGCUGGUUCGCCAGAUCAAGUGGGCUUUUCAAGACAGUGUGAAUGAGUUUUCAAGGUGGGUAUAAAAUUUUGAUAAAUUUCAAUAUUUUAAUAACCUAAAUAAUUU
rnacentral:lncRNA from 11 species